UCAUCCUGUCUUCAUUAGGGAGGGAGGUGCUCCAGACCUCUCAUCAUCUGCCUCUACAGCUGGAGGAAGUCUUCCUUUGAUCACGUGGUCUGUAAUAGACCACUAGCACCAGACUCCACAGUGUACUACCUUGCUGAUGGAAACCCAUUUGAUGAAACUUGGGAUUCCUAGCAUCUAAAGGGAGGAAAGAGAUGACCUUUAGCUGAGAGACGUGGUUUAUGGGGAGGAAAAAGGAUAUGAAAGCACAGCAGGAAGCAAGGUUUGCUGAACCUCUUCACGGAUUGGAACUCUGUGCAGCAUGCCAUAGCCACCUUGAAGAGGACUGUCUGAUGCUGGCACACCUCAACCAUCUUGGCAUCUGAAGGGACUUAGGGUUAACUCAUAAUUCUUACUUUCUAAUUAUUCAGUAAAUAGCAUAUGCCUUCCUAUACAUAUUGAGACACGUUUCUUACUGAGAUCCAGAAAGAACAUUACAACUGACUUACAAAUUGUUGGGAAGUUGUUCUGAAAUAUUACCAGUCAUAAACCAUGGUAGUGCUGUGAAGCAAUGGAAAACACAGCAAUGACAGCAGAGAAGCAAAGUCCUAGGGUGCAGCAAGUGAGGAUAUGCUCAAAUAUGGCAACUGUGGACACAGAAACAAAGGAAAGAAUCUGCUUACCCUUGGAAGGCC